GAGCACAAAGCGAAAGCAGAGGGGGAGGGCAGAGACCAGGCAGCCGCCCCGACUGGCCUCCUUAGGCCCCCCUCUAAAAAAAAAAAUCGAGCCACACCCACGAUUUUUUGGAUUCAAUAUUUAGUCCUUGUAGAUCAAACUACUGAGAAGCAAAGCCCAGGAGGACAUCUAUCAUGGAUAUCCCUCUUCUGGCACCCUAAUGGCACCUACUGAACUUAAUUUAAAAAAUCCAUUUCAAGAAAGUAACUUUGGUGAUGAGAAACUCCUUGGGAAGAAUGGAAGAUCUAGAUGUAUUGCAGUUCAGCACAACAUAAUAAUCUGAUUGGAGAAAGGAAGAAAACAGCAGCAGCAGAGGCAGAGCUGGAAUGUCGCAACAGCUGGAAUCCAGAAUGACAUUCUAAGGGGGAGGGUUGUUAAGGCACAAAUGAUUUUUCUGGGAUUUAAGACCUUACUUAGGGUAAGCUUGAUGAUUACCAGGAACGAAUGAACAAAGGGGAAAGGCUUAAUCAAGAUCAGCUGGAUGCCGUUUCUAAGUACCAGGAAGUCACAAAUAAUUUGG
rnacentral:sRNA from 1 species